CAUUGCUUUUUUAGGAGUUACUGCACCAUCUGCUGGUUGGAGUCCCACAUGGAGAAUGAGCCCAACAACAUCUAUACUUAGCAGUGCAUUAGACAGUUUCUGGGGUAGUGGUGGGCCUGUAGUGAAGCUUUGGCGUAAAUUCUAUGAGAAAGAUCUGCCUCUCUUCCAGAUGGUUUUACCGGCUCUCUUCGACCCUGUCAUCCACCUGGACAAAUGCUUUACUGUUUCUUCCUCUAUGGUCCAGGUUUAUCCUACCAGCCUGCAGGAUGUCACAGUCGAACCGUCAAAGACUAUGGACUUGUUUUAUGCACAUCUUUUUUAUCACAGCUAUUUUUUUUUUAUUUGCAUUCCUAAGACCUCUCCUUAUUGAAAUGCAGAUAAAGACUUCACUUAUGUAAAACCACUAUAAAUAAUUAAUAAAUAAAGCUAACAGAAAAAAAACGUUUGCACCAUAUUUAUUUCUGCAUGUUUUUUCU